UACAGGGAGUGCAGAAUUAUUAGGCAAGUUUCAUUUUUGAGGAUUAAUUUUAUUAUUGAACAACAACCAUGUUCUCAAUGAACCCAAAAAACUCAUUAAUAUCAAAGCUGAAUAUUUUUGGAAGUAGUUUUUAGUUUGUUUUUAGUUAUAGCUAUGUUAGGGGGAUAUCUGUGUGUGCAGGUGACUAUUACUGUGCAUAAUUAUUAGGCAACUUAACAAAAAACAAAUAUAUACCCAUUUCAAUUAUUUAUUAUUACCAGUGAAACCAAUAUAACAUCUCAACAUUCACAAAUAUACAAUUCUGACAUUCAAAAACAAAACAAAAACAAAUCAGUGACCAAUAUAGCCACCUUUCUUUGCAAGGACACUCAAAAGCCUGCCAUCCAUGGAUUCUGUCAGUGUUUUGAUCUGUUCACCAUCAACAUUGCGUGCAGCAGCAACCACAGCCUCCCAGACACUGUUCAGAGAGGUGUACUGUUUUCCCUCCUUGUAAAUCUCACAUUUGAUGAUGGACCACAGGUUCUCAAUGGGGUUCAGAUCAGGUGAACAAGGAGGCCAUGUCAUUAGAUUUUCUUCUUUUAUACCCUUUCUUGCCAGCCACGCUGUGGAGUACUUGGACGCGUGUGAUGGAGCAUUGUCCUGCAUGAAAAUCAUGUUUUUCUUGAAGGAUGCAGACUUCUUCCUGUA